UGAAACGUGAACGAGACUUGGGACGAACUGGAGAAAAACAUAACCGCGAAAGGAAGAGGCGGCUAUCACUUACUGGUUGUGCCAGAAGUCGCCGCUGCUGCUCCCGAGGCCGAGGGGCCCAGAGAGCUCCAGCCAGGUGGCGGGUUCGUCUCUGGCGCUAGAAGGCUGUCCAUGGAAUCAGGCUGUUGUGGAAGGAGUAUGGAACAACCCUUGGCUACAAUCCUGGCUCUUCCCUGGCUGUCUUUAGUCAAAUCAAGCUCAUUCUGAAGCCUUUCCUGGGAGUCCUGAAGACUAGCAAUAAGUCCUUCUGCAGAGCCAAGACCUUGUUCACUUUUCCUUACCAGAUCUUGGAGGCGGCCAAUCU